GAUGAACGCUGGCGGCGUGCCUAAUACAUGCAAGUCGAGCGAACAGAUGAGGAGCUUGCUCCUCUGACGUUAGCGGCGGGCGGGUGAGUAACACGUGGAUAACCUACCUAUAAGACUGGGAUAACUUCGGGAAACCGGAGCUAAUACCGGAUAAUAUAUUGAACCGCAUGGUUCAAUAGUGAAAGACGGUUUUGCUGUCACUUAUAGAUGGAUCCGCGCCGCAUUAGCUAGUUGGUAAGGUAACGGCUUACCAAGGCAACGAUGCGUAGCCGACCUGAGAGGAUGAUCGGCCACACUGGAACUGAGACACGGUCCAGACUCCUACGGGAGGCAGCAGUAGGGAAUCUUCCGCAAUGGGCGAAAGCCUGACGGAGCAACGCCGCGUGAGUGAUGAAGGUCUUCGGAUCGUAAAGCUCUGUUAUUCGGGAAGAACAAAUGUGUAAGUAACUAUGCACGGCUUGACGGUACCGAAUCAGAAAGCCCCGGCUAACUACGUG
rnacentral:rRNA from 1 species